rnacentral:rRNA from 1 species
UACGGAGGGGGGCUAGCGUUGUUCGGAAUUACUGGGCGUAAAGCGCACGUAGGCGGCUUUGUAAGUUAGAGGUGAAAGCCCCGGGCUCAACCUGGGAAUGGCAAUGGAAACUGGCGGGCUGGAGUAUGGCAGAGGGGGGUGGAAUUCCGCGUGUAGCAGUGAAAUGCGUAGAGAUGCGGAGGAACACCGAUGGCGAAGGCAGCCCCCUGGGCCAAUACUGACGCUCAGGCACGAAAGCGUGGGGAGCAAACAGG